rnacentral:rRNA from 1 species
GACGAACGCUGGCGGCGUGCUUAACACAUGCAAGUCGAACGGAAAGGCCUGCUUUCCCUUGUGGAUUGCGGGUACUCGAGUGGCGAACGGGUGAGUAACACGUGAGUGAUCUGCCCCCAACUUGGGUAUAAGCCUGGGAAACUGGGUCUAAUUCCCGAUAGGACUGCAGGGUGGUGCCUGUGGUGGAAAACGAUUUUCUAGUGGUUGGGGAUGAGCUCGCGGCCUAUCAGCUUGUUGGUGGGGUAAUGGCCUACCAAGGCGGCGACGGGUAGCCGGCCUGGGAGGGGGGACGGCGACAGUGAGACUGAGAUACGGCCCAGACUCCUACGGGAGGCAGCAGUGGGGACGAUAGGACGAUGGGGGGAAGCCUGAUGCGGCGACGCCGCGUGGGUGAUGACGGGCUUCGGGUGGUAAACUCCUUUCGGGAGCGAGGAAGCCACCUGGUUGGGAGGGUGGUGACGGUAGUGGUAGAAGAAGCACCGGCUAACUACGUG